UACGUAGGGUGCGAGCGUUAAUCGGAAUUACUGGGCGUAAAGCGUGCGCAGGCGGUUCGUUGUGUCGGUGGUGAAAGCCCCGGGCUUAACCUGGGAAUGGCCAUGGAAACUGGCGAACUGGAGUGUGGCAGAGGGGGGUGGAAUUCCGCGUGUAGCAGUGAAAUGCGUAGAGAUGCGGAGGAACACCGAUGGCGAAGGCAGCCCCCCUGGGCUGACACUGACGCUCAGGCACGAAAGCGUGGGGAGCAAACAGG
rnacentral:rRNA from 1 species